rnacentral:rRNA from 1 species
CAUGUCCUACGGGGGGCAGCAGUGAGGAAUAUUGGUCAAUGGGCGGAAGCCUGAACCAGCCAAGUCGCGUGAGGGAAUAAGGCCCUACGGGUCGUAAACCUCUUUUGCCGGGGAGCAAGGGCCGGGACGCGUCCCGGCCCGGAGAGUACCCGGAGAAAAAGCAUCGGCUAACUCCGUGCCAGCAGCCGCGGUAAUACGGAGGAUGCGAGCGUUAUCCGGAUUUAUUGGGUUUAAAGUGUGCGUAGGCGGGCUUUUAAGUCGGCGGUAAAAAUUCGGG